rnacentral:rRNA from 1 species
UACGUAGGGUGCAAGCGUUUGUCCGGAAUUAUUGGGCGUAAAGAGCUCGUAGGCGGUCUGUCGCGUCUGCUGUGAAAACUCAGGGCUUAACCCUGAGCUUGCAGUGGGUACGGGCAGACUAGAGUGCGGUAGGGGAGACUGGAAUUCCUGGUGUAGCGGUGAAAUGACGCAGAUAUCAGGAGGAACACCGGUGGGCGAAAGGCGGGUCU